UCGGGUUGUAAAGCACUUUUGUCCGGAAAGAAAACUUCUGCCCUAAUACGGCGGGAGGAUGACGGUACCGGAAGAAUAAGCACCGGCAACUACGUGCCAGCAGCCGCGGUAAUACGUAGGGUGCGAGCGUUAAUCGGAAUUACUGGGCGUAAAGCGUGCGCAGGCGGUUCGUUAAGACAGAUGUGAAAUCCCCGGGCUUAACCUGGGAACUGCAUUGUGACUGGCGAGCUAGAGUAUGGCAGAGGGGGGUAGAAUUCCACGUGUAGCAGUGAAAUGCGUAGAGAUGUGGAGGAAUACCGAUGGCGAAGGCAGCCCCCUGGGCCAAUACUGACGCUCAUGCACGAAAGCGUGGGGAGCAAACAGGAUUAGAUACCCUGGUAGUCCACGCCCUAAACGAUGUCAACUAGUUGUUGGGUCUUCAUUGACUUAGUAACGUAGCUAACGCGUGAAGUUGACCGCCUGGGGAGUACGGUCGCAAGAUUAAAACUCAAAGGAAUUGACGGGGACCCGCACAAGCGGUGGAUGAUGUGGAUUAAUUCGAUGCAACGCGAAAAACCUUACCUACCCUUGACAUGGUCGGAACCCUGCUG
rnacentral:rRNA from 1 species